CUACGGGGGGCAGCAGGCGCGAAACCUUUACACUGUACGCAAGUGCGAUAAGGGGACUCCCAGUGCUCAUGCACUGCAUGGGCUUUUGCCAAGUGUAAAAAGCUUGGCGAAUAAGUGGUGGGUAAGACGGGUGCCAGCCGCCGCGGUAACACCUGCGCCACGAGUGGCAAUCAUGUUUAUUGGGCCUAAAGCGUUCGUAGCCGGAUAAGCAAGUCUUGGGUGAAAUCGUUGCGCUUAACAAAACGACGUGCUUGAGAUACUACUUAUCUUGGGACCGGGAGGAGUGAGGGGUAUUCCUGGGGAGCGGUAAAAUGCUAUAAUCUCAGGAGGACCACCUGUGGCGAAGGCGCCUCACUAGAACGGGUCCGACGGUGAGGGACGAAAGCUAGGGGAGCAAACCGGAUUAGAUACCCCCGUAGUC
rnacentral:rRNA from 1 species